rnacentral:tRNA from 1 species
ACCUAAAGCCUUCAAAGCUUUUAACAGAAGUUAAAAUCUUCUAGUUUCUG